rnacentral:sRNA from 1 species
GCCGGGCGUGAUGGCUCACGCCUGUAAUCCCAGCACUUUGGGAGGCUGAGGUGGGCAGAUCACCUGAGGUCAGGAGUUUGAGACCAGCCUGGCCAACAUGGUGAAACCCCAUCUCUA